UACGGAGGAUCCUAGCGUUAUCCGGAUUCAUUGGGUUUAAAGGGUGCGUAGGCGGAAUAGUAAGUCAAUGGUGAAAGCCUACAGCUUAACUGUAGAAUUGCCGUUGAUACUGCUAAUCUUGAGUACAUUUGAAGUGGGCGGAAUGUGUCGUGUAGCGGUGAAAUGCUUAGAUAUGACACAGAACACCGAUUGCGAAGGCAGCUCACUAAACUGUAACUGACGCUGAGGCACGAAAGCGUGGGGAUCAAACAGG
rnacentral:rRNA from 1 species